CCGAGAAUCUUCCGCAAUGGGCGAAAGCCUGACGGAGCGACACCGCGUGUAGGAUGAAGGUCUUCGGAUUGUAAACUACUGUCACUUGGGAAGAGAUUUGCUGCAACUAAUAAUUGUUGCAAUUGACUGUACCAAGAGAGGAAGCCACGGCUAACUCUGUGCCAGCAGCCGCGGUAAUACAGAGGUGGCGAGCGUUGUUCGGAUUGAUUGGGUGUAAAGGGUGCGUAGGCGGUUUGGAAAGUUGGAUGUGAAAUCCUAUGGCUUAACCAUAGAACUGCAUUCAAAACUUCUAAACUAGAGUGCGAGAGAGGUGAAGGGAAUUCCCGGUGUAAGGGUGAAAUCUGUAGAGAUCGGGAGGAACACCAGUAGCGAAGGCGCUUCACUGGCUCGUAACUGACGC
rnacentral:rRNA from 1 species